CAGCCGCCACGGUAAUACGUAGGGGGCUAGCGUUGUCCGGAAUCACUGGGCGUAAAGGGUUCGCAGGCGGAAAUGCAAGUCAGAUGUAAAAGGCAGUAGCUUAACUACUGUAAGCAUUUGAAACUGCAUAUCUUGAGAAGAGUAGAGGUAAGUGGAAUUUUUAGUGUAGCGGUGAAAUGCGUAGAUAUUAAAAAGAAUACCGGUGGCGAAGGCGACUUACUGGGCUCAUUCUGACGCUGAGGAACGAAAGCGUGGGUAGCAAACAGGAUUAGAUACCCCCGUAGUCCCUGUCUCUUAUACA
rnacentral:rRNA from 1 species